AUUGAACGCUGGCGGCAUGCCUUACACAUGCAAGUCGAACGGCAGCAUGAUCUAGCUUGCUAGAUUGAUGGCGAGUGGCGAACGGGUGAGUAAUACAUCGGAACGUGCCCUGUAGUGGGGGAUAACUAGUCGAAAGAUUAGCUAAUACCGCAUACGACCUGAGGGCGAAAGUGGGGGACCGCAAGGCCUCAUGCUAUAGGAGCGGCCGAUGUCUGAUUAGCUAGUUGGUGAGGUAAAGGCUCACCAAGGCGACGAUCAGUAGCUGGUCUGAGAGGACGAUCAGCCACACUGGGACUGAGACACGGCCCAGACUCCUACGGGAGGCGGCAGUGGGGAAUUUUGGACAAUGGGGGCAACCCUGAUCCAGCAAUGCCGCGUGUGUGAAGAAGGCCAUCGGGUUGUAAAGCACUUUUGUCCGGAAAGAAAUCGCACUUACUAAUAUUAGGUGUGGAUGACGAUACCGGAAGAAUAAGGACCGGCUAACUACGUGCCAGCAGCCGCCGCGGUAA
rnacentral:rRNA from 1 species